CCAAACGGGAAAGAGUGAGGGAAGAAAAUCCUUAUCACUUGGAAACGACCUGGAUUUCCUGCUGGGGACACCGUGUCGUUUUUCAAGAUGUGAAGGGCUUUUUCCUUGUCCAAGUUCAGGUUGUUUUUCCAAGAUAAAGGGGAUUUUGUGGUCGGUUUAGUCCUUCCCACCAACACACAACCACAGCUCGAUCAAGACUGGGGUUGCAAAAAUCCCAAGUGUGUUUAAGUUUCAUGAAAAGAAUUGUCCAUUUUGAGCGAGCACAGGAAAAGGCUGAAGCACAAGCCCAGAUAAUUGUUUGACAGAGGGGAAAUUAGGAGUAUUUUAACCUCCUCUAGUGGAAGGUGUCCCUGCCCAUGGCAGGGGGGUGGAAGAAGAUGGUCUUUAAGGUCCCUUCCAACCCAAACCAUUCUGGGAUGUGUUCUUCUGUCCAUGGAGCUGUUGGGGUUUGAUAGGGGAUGAAGGAUGAUGAAGCAAAAAAGGCCUGUGUAAUCAAGAAAUCAUUCUUCUCCUGAUGACAUCUGCACCUCAGAAAAAUCAGAUCCCACAGUGCCCUGAGGUGCCCUGAGGACGAGCUGAGCACUAAACCAGGCGGAUGAGCAGCAGGAGCCCAAGGUCUGACCUUCUGAAGGACCACUUGAGGAGAGCAGAGGCCUGGCCAGGUGAUUAUUCCAAGCUCUGCAGUGCCUGGAUGAGGUACAGCAUUGGAGCCCUGACCUCAUUUAUAGCUCCUGCAUUUAUGAAAAGCCAAGAGAUUAUGCAGAGAGCUUUCCUGAGGGUGAUCAUAUGAGGCAGGAGACAUGAAGUCAUCGUCCUAAAGCCCAAGGUGAAAUCAGGCUGUCCCAAAAAACCCCAGGCAGGCCUAGGGAUGCAUCUCGUAGUGCUGCAGGAAGGAAAACUGAUCCAGCUUAAUUUUUUUUAGGGUGUUUUCCUAAGAGGUCUCCUAAAGGGGACUUUGUGGUCAGUUUAGUCCUUCCAACCAACACACAACCACAAUUUGAUCAAGUUUAGAGUUAUAAAAAUACCAAGUGUCUAUGAAUUUCAUGAGUUGUCCAGUUAGAGUGAGCACUUCUGCCAUGCUGUUUCCUGGCUUUAUCCUUUAGGGAAAACUGGUAUUUAAAAUCUCACUCAGAGCAGUUUUCUGGGCUUAAGAGUUAGAAGACUAAAAAUCAAGAGGUAAUCACUUUUCUGUAGCUCAGCAUUUCACUCCAGGAAGACAAUCUGGGUAUCAAUUCUUCCCCCUACAGGAAAAAAUCCUGUCUUUCAUGGGAAAUAAUUCAAUCCUAUCUGCCUGAACUGAAGCCCACAGAGGUGCCUCUGACUUCCCAGGAGCCAGAUUGGGCUUGGUGCCUGUGAACAUGGUUGGGAAGGAUCGGCAGAACCCCCUGUCCUGCUUGGAGAAAGCCCCCUUGGAAAGCACAUCCCCGUCCAACAGCCCAGUCCUUCUGCUCUGCAGCACCUGGGAUGUCCCGGCAAAGCCUCCCAGGGUCCAGAAGAUCCCUGGGGGUUCAGGUUUUUGGGAGCUUCAGUGUGAGCAAAGACUUCCCCAUCCUCAGCUCCUGCUGUUACACAACCCGUGCCCGCCUGCGGUUUGCGUCAGCUGCAGAAAAUGCACGGUAAGGUUUGCUGCUUCCCACUUUGGAAAGCCACUUGGAAGACCUCGGAAUUACAACAGCCCUUCUCCUCACAACCCUUCUCAGCCUUUCCUCCCAGUGCUAAGAAACUCCAGUAACUGCUAAUUAUUCAGUAAUUAAGUGUCUCUCCGGGGUUGUAAUUGUGAGUCUGGUCUCUCCCCGUCACUGUGUGCUCGUUAGGUAGCAGCUUUCUCAAGGCCCAAACAAAUUCUCUCCUUUCCAUUUGAUUGGAUUACAAAAUUGCUUUAAACUCUGUGGAGAUGAUUAGGAAAAGUGUGUUUUUGCGCAACAGUUGCCAUGGGAACUAAAGGAGAGAGAGAUCUUUAUAAACCACAAGUCAAGCAGAUUGUGUUGCAGACAAUUAAUAUUGUCUCGUUCAUUUGCUUUAACUCUUUUGUGCACUUAUCCCAAAAUAGUUUUUGUCUCUUUUUCCAUGUCAAAUGCUGUGUCAAAGAGAUUCUGCUCCCUCGAGGAUUCACCCCUCAUUCUCUUGCAAGGCCGUCCUGGUUAGUUGCUUCUUCCUCUUCUUCUUUGCCUCUUUGGUCUGGGGACACCUCUGGGUGGGAUUUGGUUUGGGAUUGGGACACAAGUGUGGGAGAAGUGUCAAAGCUCCCAUCCUGUCACUGGAACCAGAGCACACUGGUGGCUGAGCUGAGCAGCUCUAAAUACUUCUCCUGCACCAACCCCUCUGCCCUCUUUGCUAACACCCCAGACUCCUCAAACCUUCAUUUCUUCUAAUUCCAUGUUUGACACUUCAGGAAAGAGAAGCUGAUAACUGACCCAGUGCCGAUCCCUCUGCUCUCCUCUCUUUCCAAACCCUCUUCCUCCAGCCCCAUCCCAUCUCCUGAGUUCUCUCUCACCUGCCCUCUCCCACAUCCUGCCAUCCUCUGGCUCUCCCCUCACAGCACAGGUAUCACAUCUUAAAAACAAUUAGCAAAGGAAUGUCCUUAUUUUCCUCCAGACCUCUGCCUGACUCUUUGAAUGGGAGGAAUUCCCCUACCAAGGGAAUUCAAUAUUCAUGCAUUUAAAAAGCAGGCUCCUCCUCAGCCCUCUCCCCUGUGUAGUGCUGACCUCCUUCCUCUGGAUUCAGGGUUGAAUAUGGGAUUACUCAUUUUCCCAGGGGCUGAUCCACCACUCUGUUGUUUCAGUUCUCCACAAACAGCAUUUCUGCCCCAUCAGAGGCAGAAGCUCCUUUCAGCGUAGAAGCUGCUUCAUUUUGAGGCCACUGUUCAGAUCCCAGGGUUGGGAUCCCAGUUCUUCCACCAUCCCACCUGUUUCACAAGAGCAGCCACGGGAUUUGAAAAAGGCAAGGGCCAAACCACCAAACUCCCAGUUCCUGAUCAAAAUCAGGGGAGAGUGAGACGACCUCAGAGAAACCCAGGGGAGAAUCAGCAUUGCAUGAGGAGGAAGGUCUGGGCAGGUAUUUUUGUGCUGAUUUGGGAGCUCCAGCAGACGUUACGUGCACAGGGCAAGACAAAAAUAGGCCAUAUUUAACUCAUUAUUCUCAGUCCAUAAAAACAUUCCACUUCAGGCCCAGUUUCUAUCCUUAAAAAUCCAUGAGGCAGGGGAGAUGUCAGCACACCUUGCAUUUUCCCUGUCACCAUGGAAAAGGAAGACUGUGUAACCCGAGAAGCUGGAACCAGGCAAGAAGAACCAGAAAGUGUUUUUUGUGGCCAGGGCUCCAUGUGGAUGCAUUCCCAGUCACCUGCCUUGUGCAGGCUGUGAAGAUCCAACCUCUGUGUUCCCUGCAGUCUCUGAGGCUGGAGGAAUUUCUCUGGGAAGCCUGUGGGGAAGUGGUGUUGCUUUUGAAGCCAAAAAUAAUUCUUUCAGAUAGACAACUUAACCUGUAACAGGCCCUUUACCUCACUGCUAUCAGAUAAUGCUGGUCAGAUGCAGGUCAUGACCUUCUGGAGGAUUAUUAGAUCAGAUUAGAUUAGAUUAUCUUCCUGGAUAAAGUCAGGAGGGCCAUGGGGUGAGAGGGAGAUUUUCCACAUAUCCCCAGGCAUCCAGGUGUUCUUUGGGGGGAUCACCUCGCUCCUCCUUUUCUUUGCAUCCCUGUUCCAUCUAUUUCAGCCUGCCCUGUGUGGGCACUGAUGCCAACCUCUUUCUAGUCAUAUCCUUGCUGUUGAGAUCAAACCCACUGCACCAGGCAGAGCCACAAACAGAGCCCUGGAAGCUUUUCCACCCUCGGAAGGAGACGGGCUGGCUGCUCUUGGCAGAAAUCUCGCUGCUGCUUAAUUGGAAAAAGGGUUUUAAAUCAGGCUGGUAUUUUUUCUUUAAGCAAGGCAUCUCAAAUGGAGAGCUCAGCAUCAAAGAAUCGAGCAGAGCAGCACAGAAGCAGCAGCAAGAGCAUCUAACAAGGCAGAGGAUGAGGCUCCUGACCCUGGUGAGGCUGGAAAGGGAGACAGCGCUUCCAAAGUUGUCUUUGAGCACAAGGGAACAUUUCUCCUUGUGACUUUUCUGUUUUGCAGCAAAAAGAGAAGCACAGCAACAGAACAAAACUGUUCUUCCAGAAGGAACCAUCAUAUCUAACCAAAUAUCUGCUCAUUGACACUGAGGGGCUCCGAGUCAGGCUCACAAGAGCAGGAACAGCACAUCAGGAUUUUGGAUUUAACACCCCUUCCCCAUUUCUCUCCCUGGAAAGACCUUCUCUGAGUAGCCCCAUUGCUGAUGGGCAUUUGCUCUCCUGGGCUGGGAUUAGGUUGGCAGAAACUUUGCAGCUUUCAAAUCCAAAUUCCCUGAGACUGGAAGAGUUUUGAUCUCACUCUGGACUUUAUUAUUUACAUUUUCUUUUCAUGGCCACGUGGUUUUGCCUUUGUACAGUGGGUGUGCAUUGGCCACACUCAUCCUCACAGGCAGCUUGUAAGGUUUCCUAAAAACUUCUGCUAUUUUUACAACUAAUUGUGCACUGCAGGAAUUGCAGUCCCAGUCCCCAGGGAGUGUGAGGGACAGGCUGUGAUAAGGGUGGACGUGCUGGGUCACUCACAGGAGGGUUUUUUUGUCACUCUGUACCUUCCUCCACCGCUGUCACUGGUGCCCAAGGGGUUACACUGAUCGACCUGCAGAGCAGGAGUUGGUUGUUCUUUAUGUUCUCUGUAAAUUCAAAUGGAAGCCUAUUUUCACUAAAAAAAAAAUAUGGAUUAA